GGCAAAGGCCCACAGCUUCUUCCUGUUUGUAACAGUGGAUGUCUGGGUUUUCGCAGGCUGGUUUGCUGUAGGGCACCACUUGUACCCUCGAUUUGCCUUCAUACAUGUAUCCUUGCACUGGAGCAGAGGCUGCAGAGACCAACAUGGCCGCCCGGCAGCCCCGUGCCCCAGGACUACAGCUCCCAGCAUGCCCCGGGAACCACCAGGGCCCCCUGGCAGCCCCG